rnacentral:rRNA from 1 species
UUGGUUAAGUUAGAAAGGGCGCACGGUGGAUGCCUUGGCACUAGGAGCCGAAGAAGGACGGGACUAACACCGAUAUGCUUUGGGGAGCUGUACGUAAGCGUUGAUCCAGAGAUUUCCGAAUGGGGGAACCCACUAUCUUUAGUCGGAUAGUAUCCUUACGUGAAUACAUAGCGUGAGGAAGGCAGACCCAGGGAACUGAAACAUCUAAGUACCUGGAGGAAGAGAAAGAAAAAUCGAUUUCCUGAGUAGCGGCGAGCGAAACGGAAAGAGCCCAAACCAAGAAGCUUGCUUCUUGGGGUUGUAGGACACUCUAUACGGAGUUACAAAAGAAAGUUAUAAAUGAAGCGGUCUGGAAAGGCCCGCCAAAGACGGUAACAGCCCGGUAGUUGAAAUGGCUUUCCCUCCAGAGUGGAUCCUGAGUACGGCGGAACACGUGAAAUUCCGUCGGAAUCCGGGAGGACCAUCUCCCAAGGCUAAAUACUCCCUAGUGACCGAUAGUGAACCAGUACCGUGAGGGAAAGGUGAAAAGCACCCCGGAAGGGGAGUGAAACAGUUCCUGAAACCGUGUGCCUACAAGUAGUUAGAGCCCGUUAAUGGGUGAUAGCGUGCCUUUUGUAGAAUGAACCGGCGAGUUACGAUUUGUUGCAAGGUUAAGCGGAAAAAGCGGAGCCGUAGCGAAAGCGAGUCUGAAUAGGGCGCAUAAGUAACAGGUCGUAGACCCGAAACCAGGUGAUCUACCCAUGUCCAGGAUGAAGGUAAGGUAAUACUUACUGGAGGUCCGAACCCACGCACGUUGAAAAGUGCGGGGAUGAGGUGUGGGUAGCGGAGAAAUUCCAAUCGAACUUGGAGAUAGCUGGUUCUCUCCGAAAUAGCUUUAGGGCUAGCCUCGAGGUAAAGAGUCAUGGAGGUAGAGCACUGUUUGGACUAGGGGCCCUUCUCGGGUUACCGAAUUCAGAUAAACUCCGAAUGCCAUGUACUUAUACUCGGGAGUCAGACUGCGAGUGAUAAGAUCCGUAGUCGAAAGGGAAACAGCCCAGACCACCAGUUAAGGUCCCCAAAUAUAUGUUAAGU